CAAUAGCGUAUAUUAAAGUUGUUGCAGUUAAAAAGCUCGUAGUUGGAUUUCGGGGCAGCCUGGCUGGUCCGCCGCAAGGCGAGUACUGGUCAGCCGCCCUUCCUCUCGAAAGCCCCGACUGCUCUUUAUUGCAGUGGUCGGGUAGUUCGGGACGUUUACUUUGAAAAAAUUAGAGUGUUCAAGGCAGGCCUACGCCUGAAUACAUUAGCAUGGAGUAAUGGAAGAGGACCUCGGUCCUAUUUUGUUGGUUUCCAGGACCGAAGUAAUGAUUAAGAGGGACAGUUGGGGGCAUUCGUAUUUAAUUGUCAGAGGUGAAAUUCUCGGAUUUAUGAAAGACGAACAACUGCGAAAGCAUUUGCCAAGGAUGUUUUCAUUAA
rnacentral:rRNA from 1 species